rnacentral:rRNA from 1 species
UAGUCAUAUGCUUGUCUCAAAGAUUAAGCCAUGCAUGUCUAAGUAUAAGCAAUCUAUACGGUGAAACUGCGAAUGGCUCAUUAAAUCAGUUAUCGUUUAUUUGAUAGUACCUUACUACUUGGAUAACCGUGGUAAUUCUAGAGCUAAUACAUGCUAAAAACCCCGACUUCGGAAGGGGUGUAUUUAUUAGAUAAAAAACCAAUGCCCUACGGGGCUCCUUGGUGAUUCAUAAUAACUUAACGAAUCGCAUGGCCUUGUGCCGGCGAUGGUUCAUUCAAAUUUCUGCCCUAUCAACUUUCGAUUGUAAGGUAGUGGCUUACAAUGGUUUCAACGGGUAACGGGGAAUUAGGGUUCUAUUCCGGAGAGGGAGCCUGAGAAACGGCUACCACAUCCAAGGAAGGCAGCAGGCGCGCAAAUUACCCAAUCCCGACACGGGGAGGUAGUGACAAUAAAUACUGAUACAGGGCUCUUUUGGGUCUUGUAAUUGGAAUGAGUACAAUUUAAAUCCCUUAA